rnacentral:tRNA from 1 species
AGGGACUUAGGAUAAUAGACCAAAGACCUUCAAAGCCUUAAGUAGGAGUUAAAAUCUUCUAGUCUCUA